UCUAGAUAUUCCCAAACGUUUUGCAGGCAGUGCAUGAAUGUGUCUGCAUUAUAGUUUUUUCUGCAUUACAGCAGAAUUCCCAUCCCUGUAGUGUGAUCCCUAUUCAAAAACACAGGAAGACUGGAGAGGGUACUGGUCAGUUACUGCACCAAAAAGUGGAAUGUGCCUUUAGCAUAUGUGGGGUAAUAUUGCCUACAGUUAGCACUAAAUGAAGCCCUUCAAAACCUUCCCCCUCUGAUAUGAGCUGUAGUGUUUUCCCCAAAGCUUUACGAACAGAAGAGAACGACACAAAGUACUGCAGCUGCGAUCCUAUCCACAAUAUUAAAAAUCACUGAUUAAUCUUCAUUUAAAUAAAUAAUCUACAAUUCAAGUAAUAAUCAAAAACACAUUCAACAGUUAGUCAAAAAAAGUGCACGCAGGCACACAUACACACGAACUUAAACACACACACACACACUGUGUUUAGUCUUAGUAUGUACACACACAGUGUGUGUUCCUCACUGCCUUGGUCAACAUAUGUAUUGAGCUACUGUGAAUUUUGCAUUCCAAUAUCUCUAUGUCUCUAUGUAUCCUUUAAAAAAAAAUAUUCCUAUCCAAAUCUCAAUAACCUCAGUGUAUCACACAACUGUGCGCGAGAAGAACUGAAAGGCUAUAUAUUAUGAUUAAUAUUCACAAAAAUAUAAACAAAAGGAAAAUACACAAGGCCACUUAAAAUAAAUGUAAUGAAAUAUUGUAGUGUCCUAUGCGUAGCACUGUUAAAGUGACAGUUUGGCGAAUGUGCUCUCCAAAAAUCUUUUUUUUUUUUUACUCUAAGGUAGUUUACAUUAAACCACCAUAACAUUAACACCCAUAACAUCCUUGUUUCAUUUGAUCCGAUCCGAUCUUAAUCAGAUCUGUUCUUUAAUGGUUACGACCUUUUAGUAAUGAUGGUGGGCCAUUCUCACUGCACUGCAGUGGCAUUGGCAUGGUAGUGGCAGGGUAGACACAGCAGUGCUGCUGGAGUUUUUAAACACCGUGAACACUUACUGCCGAAUCUAUUACUGCUCCAAUGUGUAGAUGUAAAGUCAGAUACAGAAGCUUAUCUGUUGCUGUGUAUGUUAUUCUCUAGUCGUUCCUCAGUGACACAGGCUACAGACGGCAGGAUAUUUCAGCUGAGCAGUGAUGCUAAAAUGUUAAAAAACUGUCCAGCUGCAGUGCUGCCGUCUCUGAUCCACCCAUACCUCUGCAACACAUGCUAACAAUAAAACAAUGACCCACCACCCAAGUAUAACCUGCACUUUGGUGGUACUGUGGGCUCCUGUAUGGUCAUAAAAUAGACGGACCGUGACCACAGAGACAAGGAGGCGGUGUUAAUGUAUAGCUAAAUGCUGUGUAUUUGUUUCAGAUAAAUCGUUGCCAAACUGUUUCUUUAAUAAUGAAUAUGUGUGAUAAGUGGCUGAGUGGAUGGAGAGGGAAGAGAGGGGGUCAAUGACAAAAAUCAAGAGGGCAAGCAUUGUGGGAGUAAUAGAAUCUGACACAUGCAGCUGGACAACAGCGCCUGCACUGAACCAACCACUGAUCAAUGAACACAUAUUAAGACUCCAUAUGUACAAAAACUAGACAUAAAGCAAUGUUAUAGCCCAGAACUAAAUUUAUACAUUUAUAAAUUUACCCCAAAUGUAGUUAUGAUAUGAUUGGUGUCUGGAUGUUUGCUUCUUUACCUUGUUUAACUCUUAUUUUACACUGAUGGCAUGUAUGAUGCAGUGGUUGCUAUGGUAAUAAUUAAUGGACCAAUAUAGCAUUUUCCCUAUGGCAUAUCUAAACAGUCACACAUGCUACUGUAUACCUAGAUGUCACACAGUGAUAAAAGCCUAAAAAGUAAUUUUUGGACAUUUCACACCAGUGAAAAUCUAAAAAAGUAAAGGUCAGACACCAAACAUCUCUUGGUUAAUCGACUGACUACAUUUGGUAUAAACUAUUUCAUAAAUUUGAUCCCCUUCCUCCCAAACUAUCACUUUAAUAAUGAGACCUCUGUGCCCUUUCUGUUUCUUUCUUAGACAGCAGGUAGAAAAAAAGAAAAAACAUCAUCCAUUCAAGCAUGCUGCUUCCCCCUGAUUGGGAGAUUGUGGUGAUUGACAGGGCAGUGGGGAGGGGGUGACAGGGCGGGGUUUAGGGAUCAGAGGUGCUCUUGUGUGGGAUACUCCGUCUCUCCAGAUGAGAUUUGAGUCAGGCGUUUACUGGAGCCCCAGAGUUUCCUUGUGAUUUGACCAGAUCGCAUCUAUAAUGAAGGGAGGAAAGGAGGAGGGAAGGAUACAAAUGGAUAGAACAGUGAAGGAUAAAGAAUGUGAAAAACAGGGAAGGAAAAGAAAAGAUGAUCCAUGAGUGAAUUAGUCUAUCUGCUCUGAUUAAGUGCUUAGCAUAAAUCAAUAGUGCAUCUACAGUAAGUCAAAUUAAAUUAAAUAGUUAAAAAAUAAAUAAAUACAAAUGAAACAAUAAAACAAGUUGCUGGUUUAUAAAAUCACUCAGCGUGCACUAAUGCACUGCUAUGACUGAUCAGUGUAUAUUUAAAAAAGAAAAUAAUCCAAAUGCUUUUAAAUAUCUGACAGGUUAAUGUGCUGUAGGUUGCAAUAAAUAGAGAUGGCAAUCGUUUGCAAAUUAUAUUUGUGUUUCAGUCACAUGCAAAAAGGGUUUUUGAGGGAAUAUUAAAACACCCAGCUUGGCCAUAAAAGCUGAUUCCUAUCCAUCAGUUAAUUAAAACCAUCAGUGCUUCACAUAGAGCUGCUAAAAUGAAAGAGGUAAUCCUUUGGUAAAAAGGCAUUAGUUGAACAACAUUACAACAACCUUUAUUAUUAUUAUAUUAUUAUUAUUACUACUAUUACUAUUCUUGGUACAGCUAUUCUGUUAGUAGUGGUAAAUUCACUGGGGUAUGCUGUGGUUAGAUACAGUAGAACAGGUUCUCUGUUACUUACAUGAGGUUUGAGUAAAUCAAAAAGAAGCAUGCAACACAAAUCUGGAUUCAAAGGUUUCAAAAGUUCACUUCAGUCAAGGCCAAGAUUAGGAACAAACCUUCACUAGCUAACCCAUGAGUUCAUCUUUGUACUACAUGCCUCUGGUAAACAAUGUUAAUUGACAACACCAUCCACAUGACCACAAGGCAAAUGUUCACAUAAUGACAGGUUAACGAUCCUUGGCAACAUCAGUUUCAGUAUAUAACAUUAUUCACUACUUUUUAAUGUUACAGUGUGGUGAGCACUCUCACCCUUUAUUCACCUGGAUUUUUUUAGGAUUGUGUAAACCCUAGAAAGGUAUGCAUGUCCUUUUUAAAUUUGUGAUUCACAUUUUCAUCUGGUUGUUUUGUGCAUCUGAUAGCAGUGAGCAUAAAACCCCCAGGUGUAAAUGAAAUCAAGUUAUUUUGUGUGCACGUGCGUGCGUGUGUUUAUUAUUAUAGCUUAUAUGGAUCUAAAACUGCUCUGGUUUCAGGAAGAGUGUGUGUGUGUGUGUGUGUGUGUGUGUGUGUGU